ACCCACCUGACGAGUCCCAAAAUAGGACGAAAUGCGCGUCCUGGAU
rnacentral:hammerhead_ribozyme from 1 species